CACCUCCAUCACUGGGAACCAGAUUUCAGCAUGAGACCCAAACCCCUCACCCAGCCCCACCUCCAUCACUGGGAACAAGAUUUCAGCAUGAGACCAAACACCCUCACACAGACUCACCUCCAACAAUGGGGACCAGAUUUCAGCACGAGACCAAACACCCUCACCGAGCCCCACCUCCAACACUAGGGACCAGAUUUCAACAUGAGAAACAAACACCUCCAUCCAGCCUCACCACUAAUACGGGGGACCAGAUUUCAGCAUGAGACCCAAACACCCUCACCCAGCCCCACCUCCAACACUGCGGACGAGAUUUCAGCAUGAGACCCAAACAUCCUCACCCAGCCCCACCCCUAACACUUGGGACCAGAUUUCAGCAUGAGACCCAAACACCCUCACCC
rnacentral:lncRNA from 1 species